UUCAUCUUUUAGGUGUCCAAAGUCUUCCGCUAAUGUUCAGCAGGUGCUCUGUGGGAACUGUUCCACUUGUAGAGGAAUUCUUGGUGUACUUGUGAGGAGCGAUGAAUUCCGCGUCCUCCUAUUCCGCCAUCCUGACACCCCCCUCACCCCCCAUCUGCUUGCUUAAUAGUAAUUCAUAUGAUCUUUUCAAGUCGGCCAAAGACUUCCUAAAUGUUAGCUCUUUCUCACUCCACAACUUAAAAUAGCUAGGCUUAAAGCCAAUUGGAAUGAACAAAAAAGGAAUUUCAGGUGCCUGAACCUGUUCCAUCCAGGGGCAGUACUGGCUGGACACAGGCUUUGCACAUGCUGUUCCUUCUGUCUGGAAUGCCCUUCCCUCCCCUCCCUCACCUGCCUGCACCUGCAGCAAGUCCUUCUCAACCUCCAGGGUUCAGCACAUUCUUUUGGGAAGCCUUCCCUGAUUUCUUGCCUAGAAAAUCUUCUCCCUACACAAGCUUUUAAAUCCUCUUUGUGGCAUCCUUCAUAGUUGUGCUUUAACAUUUAUUAGUUGAAUAGUGUUUUCUUCCUUACUAGUCUACAAGCUGAGAGAAUUGGGCGUGCCCAGGAAUCACCAGGCCACCUUAUUAAAAUGCGGGUUCUGGUUUAGCAGGUCUGGGGCGGGCCUGAGGAUCUGCAUGCCUAAGAAGCCCCCAGGCUGUACCAAAGCCAAGGCUGCCAGUCAGCACACCACACCUUGAGUGUUAAGAGGUCCAAGAGAGCUAAACCCUUAUUCCCUUCUUUCCCGCUUCAAUUCCCAUUCAUGACUUUUGCAGAGAGGUUUGUUUAUUUUUUCCCCUUUAACCCAUCAACCUAGGUCCCCAAGGCUGUGCAUUCCAUUAGAGUCCCCUCCCCUAUAACCCCCAACCUCCAGCGUCACCACUACUAGUGCACGGGCUUAUCAAGGAAUUUCCCCCCAAAUAGCUUUCUCUUGAAGACAUCUAGUGUCAUUGGCUAAAAUAUUAUUAUUUUUUUUCCACUUGAUUCCUUCAGGCAGAAGACCAUAAGGCAGUCACGCAUUGCUGGGAUUUCAGCAAGAAACAUUUCCCUUUUCUCCUCAAUUUUGGGGACCAAUUAAGCUAUAGAUGCAGGUUUAAUAUACUUGCCUGCUUUACUAGGAGAUACUCUGGUGAUGGAAUAAUAGAAACAGAGGUAGAGAACGGAGUUUGCUUCCAUCUCAUGGUUUCCAAACUAGUUAGGCCUCAUAAUAGCAAGUGAGGAGCAGGGAAAAAACCAAGAGGGAGACAUUUACAGAAGCAAGAAAUCUAACCCAAGCUCAGAAGAAGAUGCAACAGGACCACCAGUGAAACGAAAGGGCAGCUUCCUGGGACUCAAGCAGAUUGGACCAGACAUGAACCACGAGUCCAGACAAGCACAAGACCCCAAGUGCAAACACACGUGGCUUCCCUGGCUGUCUCCUGGGUCUCUGGUCUCCUCUCCAGGACCUGGUUUGCACAUCUUCCCUGAACCCUUCUCCGGAUGGCCAGGGACAGCCUGAACCUCCAACGUUACAAUGACCAGUUUGUGUGACUUGCUUCCCUUCUGACACUGGCCGUUGGGAAGAAUGAAUGAAACUGGACAUCUAAAGCAUCCCGUGCCACUCCACCAAGUUUGAAAACUGCUGGUAAAAUGGGAAGAACACGGGCUUGGGAGUAAACUGCACUGGGUUUUCCUGGAUAAUCUGGGACCUGAGGCUAAUGAUACCCAACCUCGUGGACAGCUUUCAUUUCCUGUAUGCUUGGUGUCUUACCCAAGAAAUCACUGCCAAGACCAAUGUCAAGAAUUUUUCCCUGUGUUUUCU